UACAGAGGGUGCAAGCGUUGCUCGGAAUCAUUGGGCGUAAAGGGCAGGUAGGUGGUCUCAUUUGUCUUGUGUGAAAUCCUUGGGCUUAACUCAAGAAGUGCGCAAGAAACGGUGAGACUCGAGUUCUGGAGAGGGUCGUGGAAUUCCCGGUGUAGCGGUGAAAUGCGUAGAGAUCGGGAGGAACACCAGAGGCGAAGGCGGCGACCUGGACAGACACUGACACUCAACUGCGAAAGCGUGGGGAGCAAACAGG
rnacentral:rRNA from 1 species